UUGCCCCUGUUAGUAAAACCCAAACGAUCGGUGUUGCUGCUGGUCUCUCUAACCCUAUAUAGCUUCUUCUUCCUCUGGCUAACACCAAUUGCAUGGCAUGAAACAUGAUUUUGGGAGAAGGAGGCAUCAGGAACUGCGCCCAUUUGGUCACUUGUAGAAGCGGCGUGCGUGAUCUUGCUGCCUUUGCUAUAAGCAAUUGUUGAGUCGAACUGACACGGGCGAGGCUUCGUUUACCAGUGAGACCACGCGUGCAACGGUGGUCUCGUCCACCUCGCUCAGAAUAUUGUUCGAUCGUCAUUGCCAUGGCCGGUGCGGAGGCCUGCACGUCUGUGAUGGAGACGAAAGCGACCAGAAGGCCCAGCUCUCCAGCUUGCGCUGAUAUCUGUGGACCUGCGAGUCGGCCGGCACUACGCAUGACAGGCUUGGAUUGAUGUCUGACCUCGACUUGCGGGGAGUGGGGGCUCCUUGAUCUGCCAUCCUGUGGAUCGAACUACUUUGCAUUGACAUUUAGCUACGUCAAUGUGCAAUUUUCCUCAACUCGGGCUGCGGGCUGCCGGGUAUGAGGCAUAGAAGUGGUGUUAUGGCGUGCUUAUGGUUAUGCAUUCUAGUGUCAAUCAGAAGGGAAAAAAAAUCUAAGGAUCUCCUUGAAAGGUUUGAAACUUGAAGGA